AUUAUACUCUGAGCUACAAUGUAAUAUUAUCAUUAAAACAAACAUCAUCAUCUCCUCCUAGGAACUACAUCCAUACUCACGGUGACAGAAUAAUUUCUUAAUUGCUAAUAUUCUCAAUAAAAAUGAGAAUGUAAUCCAUCAUCAAUUAUAUGAAAAUAGGAAAAACUAGAAUCAGCAGAGGUCCACUACACCUUCAUUCUGGAUCAGGAGAACCACCAGGAACCAAAAUGGCAAUGUUAUUUCCAUUUAGUAAUAUCUGAUCAAGCUUGGUAAUCCGCCGCCCUUCAGCUGUGACUUCAUAUUCAGUGACGUCUUCGAGGACCAUGUUGACAUAGACAUCGAAGCCUCUGAGAGUACCAACAAGCUCCUUGUCUCCUUUCAUUAUCACCCAGAUUUUCGACCCUAUGCACCUGUCUAUUAGCUCUGAUGGAAGGAGCUGGGAAGGAUUAUUGGCCAUGGGAUUCAAAGAACCAAGCUUCAGCAGUGAACUGAGCGCAAUUAUAGUGAUUGUU
rnacentral:misc_RNA from 1 species